AUGAAAUCCAAAGCUGGGGUUGGGUUGUUGCUGGCUUCGGCACGUGCACACCCUUCCCUGCCACCCACACCUGUGCACUAUGGGAUGGAGCUGACUGUGAUUCGUUGCGGUCGGUGAAGUCCGUCUUUAUACACUCGUUUUAACUUUAGAAUGUAACUGUCGUUUAUUAACGAAUGAAA
rnacentral:misc_RNA from 1 species